CUCUCCAUUUGCUCCCGCUUCCAUUCCACCGUAUCUACCCGUUCGCCUUCUCCCGCACGUCACGCCGAAUGUCGCCGGAUCCCGACAGGAUCUUUUCCCAAUGUCAACGUCCAACGAUGUCAGGCGGAACCGUUGGCCGCAGAGCUGAGUCAGCUCGCAACGGCCAACUCCGCUCUAAGAUUUAGCAGUCUUGUGCCCUUCUCCCUCACCUUUACCCUGCAAGCGAGCAAAGUAGGGUUCCACCUCGUCGCGCAACCGCAGAUCAAAUGAGAAAACUUCGUACCAAAAUUAUUGGAGAGAAGAUGGAGAGGAACAGACAUGGAGAUGGACACGAAGAAAGGGUUUUAUUUGAGACAUUUAUUGAGAGCAUCAGAACCCUCACCCACGUUAUGGGGUUUGAUAGCCCCACGAAGGGGAAGUGGAAACCCUGAUCCCAAUCCAGCCCCAAGGAGGAUUCAUGACCGUGGAAUCGAUGGUCCCUAGCUCCGGUGCCAUGCUUUUCCCCGUCCCACUGGAGAGUCCGGUGGGAGGAGAAGGGAGGGAGGUGGCCGGCGGCGGCGGCGGCGGCGGCGGAUUGGAAGCCGUCAUGGCACGAGGGCUGCAAGGCCAUGCUCCAGGUCAACCGCCGUGAGAAUGGCCAAUGGACGGUAUCAAGGUGCGUGCUUGAGCACUGCCACCCUCUUGGAAUUUUCCCCGGGCCGUCUCCUGCUGUCCAGAAGAAGCUUGCGAAGAAGCCGUGGGAGCUCCUUGUGAUUGGAAACCAUGCACAGAUUCUUCCAGAGGCACUCUAUCACAAUGAUCACAUUUGCGUGAUUUAGUUAGUCAGUUUGAUAAGGCCAUGGCAGGGCAAUAUGAUAAGGAAAUCUAACCAGAUUUUGCAACCAUUCAUACCAGGCCAGUUUUGAAGACUACAUCUCCAGUAAGAGAAACAAGCAUUGGAGAUACACACAAAAACUAUAUUUGACUCGCUUCCGGUGGAGCUUGGCAAGUCAUCAGGUUUCUUGAUGGACAAAAAAUCGAGGAUGGAUGGUUAGCAAGUUCUGUAUGACAAAAGUUGACAAUGCGAGUAAAAUAUACAUGAUCAAUUAUAAUGCUUCUGAAAAAGGUGUAAGCUGUAGCUGCUGCAAUUUUGAGUUCUCAGGUAUUUUAUGCAGGCCUGUGCUCAGAGUCUUGAUGGUUGCCAGUGUACUUGCACUGCCUGAAAGAUACAUCUUCAGACAGUGGACCAGGAAUGCCAAGAGUAAUAUUUUGUCUUGUGGUCAUUGUGGUGUGCUUCAAAGUAACUGCUACAAAGCUUGGAUAUGGUGUUUCAGUGAUCUCUGCUGUGAUGCCAUUGCCCAUUAUAUUUGCAGAAGAGGGGACUACAUACACGGUGAUAUAUAAAAGUCACAAAGGGGGCAUUGCAGAAGGCUUUUUUCGGAGUAUUUGCUGCAAAGGGAACCUCAUUUAAUGGACUUGCCACUGAAGAUAUUUUUGAGUCAUACUAGAUAUGGUGGAGGAAGAUCGACAAGAUACGGGACAAAAAGUGCAUCAGGAUACAUGAAAUUGGUGAGAAGAUCAAACUCUGGAAAGCUGCUGCUUCAUUUUAUUAUAUCCAUUUUGGCUUGCUUGCUUCUGGUAACAAUGCAAUGCAUGUUGAGACAACAUGCAUUCAAAGCCCGUCGGCACUGAAUCAUGUUGGCUUGGACAGGCACAAGAACCGAAUGCUUUGCUACCACCUAUGCUGUAGACUGAGCUGGUGCCACCCGUGCCAUUGUGCUUACUGGAACUUGGUCAAGGAUAUUGGAAGAUUUACUGAGAAAUUAUACCCUACACUGCAUGCUUCAAUGUGACCAUGCACCACGCCAAUCACCGCAUCUCCUUCCUGUAGGCUCCAUUCAUCAUGUGGUGGUGUGUGGUAUGAUUUCUCAGAUUUAUAUGACCAAACCAAUUUCAUAUAAAUCUGCUCUCCUUUCUCUCUCUGUGUGUGUGUGGAGAUCUGGAAAUCUAGUACUCAGCUGAUGGUAUCAAGAUGGAGAUCUGGAAAUCUACUAAGCUGAUGGUAUCAAGAUGGUAUUUCUGUUAGGUAUUGUUCUUGGAUGAGCUGAUAAAGCAAACUAUAGUAGAGCCAUACUCACUGCCUGCGUGGUACUUUGGUUGAGAGCAAGGCCUUCUGCUGAAAAAAUGGGCUAACCUGGUGAAUGAUUAUGGUACACAGGAAGGUUGUUGAGCCAACAAAUGCCGGGUUAGGAAGUCUAUAUUCAACUUAUCCCAUGUAUUGCACCAAGUCAUCAGAAUUGUAUCAAAAUUGUCUUAUGUCACAUGGUAAGAGAAGCUUUUAUGUGCACAAAACAUAUGCUACUUAGGAUUACCUUGGUUAAUUUCAUGCACUCCCUCUCAGGAUCUGGGUAAUAUCCUUAGUUGUAUGGUUUUAUGGAUAUUGCUAAAUCGAAAAUAAUAUUUAAUGAUAGGAAGUCAGAGAUAUCUUAUAA